GGAAACAUCUGAUUACACCAUACCCAGUAAAAACUUUGCCAGAAAACAGACACCAAGGGCUGAAAAACAGGAUAGAAUAUGGCACCUAUUUAACGGCCGAUGAAUAACAGAUUAGGAUCCGCAGUAAAGAUUAAUAUAUCCAAUUGAAACUACAAAGAGAAUUUAGGAAGAUGGGAGACCACAUGCCAGAAACAGAUCUAAAUUUCCCCAGGGUGGAAAAAAGAGAUAUUGAAAAAAAUCAGGAUCAUGUCAGACCACGUUAUCAAGAACGUAGAACAUCUGAAGACUGACAAACAUUUACAGUCAGAUUAGAUCCAGCCCAGAAUAAGGAAGGAAGGAAGAAAGAAAAAUCUUUAGCAGUCCCAGCUCUAGCACUCUUGGGGAUCCUUUCAGAGGUCUGGACUUCGAACAGAUACC